UACGUAGGGUGCGAGCGUUGUCCGGAAUUACUGGGCGUAAAGAGCUCGUAGGUGGUUUGUCGCGUUGUUCGUGAAAUCUCACGGCUUAACUGUGAACGUGCGGGCGAUACGGGCAGACUAGAGUACUGCAGGGGAGACUGGAAUUCCUGGUGUAGCGGUGGAAUGCGCAGAUAUCAGGAGGAACACCGGUGGCGAAGGCGGGUCUCUGGGCAGUAACUGACGCUGAGGAGCGAAAGCGUGGGGAGCGAACAGG
rnacentral:rRNA from 1 species